ACUACGGGAGGCAGCAGUGAGGAAUAUUGGUCAAUGGGCGGAAGCCUGAACCAGCCAAGUAGCGUGCAGGAUGACGGCCCUACGGGUUGUAAACUGCUUUUAUACGGGAAUAACGCGCCUUACGUGUAGGGCUUUGCAUGUACCGUAUGAAUAAGGACCGGCUAAUUCCGUGCCAGCAGCCGCGGUAAUACGGAAGGUCCGGGCGUUAUCCGGAUUUAUUGGGUGUAAGGGGAGCGUAGGCCGCAUGUCAAGCGUGCUGUGAAAUGACCGGGCUCAACCCGGGCCUUGCAGCGCGAACUGGCGUGCUUGAGUCCGCGGAAAGCAGGCGGAAUUCGUCGUGUAGCGGUGAAAUGCUUAGAUAUGACGAAGAACCCCGAUUGCGAAGGCAGCUUGCUGCAGCGGAACUGACGCUGAUGCUCGAAAGCGCGGGUAUCGAACAGGAUUAGAUACCCUUGUAGUC
rnacentral:rRNA from 1 species